UCUGGAACGAUAUAAGAAUAAUGAAUCCUUCGUCCCGUCCGGCUCCUUCAUGGGUUACUCAGCGCCGAGCCGUGUUUCUGCCUCCAUGAUGCCGUCAUCGGAGCUUGCGUCAAUGACCACCUGCUCCUCUGCGCCUCCGAUCCCACCCUUCCUCGAUCACCACCUCCCUCCCCAAUCUUCCACCGUCUCUCCCUCUCCCGCUUCUCCUCUCGCCAUCCUCUUCGCUCUCAUUUUCGUGUUCCCCUCAUUCGACCGCCGGACUUGAAGCUGGCAGAACGAGCCUGGUGGGUGACGCGGAGGUUGGUUAGGUCCGAUGUACGGUGGGAUCGUUAGGUAUGGGUGGUAUGGAACAGGCCAGCGACCAUGGCGACGAGGAGCUUCGUCGAACCCUCUCAGGUGGGCUCCGGGCAUGCCCGUGCCCGGAUUUUGACGGCAUCCAGAUCACUUUGGCUUCAGGAUCUCUCUGUCCAGAGUUG
rnacentral:lncRNA from 1 species